CUGGCUCAGGAUGAACGCUGGCGGCGUGCCUAAUACAUGCAAGUCGAGCGAACGGACGAGAAGCUUGCUUCUCUGAUGUUAGCGGCGGACGGGUGAGUAACACGUGGAUAACCUACCUAUAAGACUGGGAUAACUUCGGGAAACCGGAGCUAAUACCGGAUAAUAUUUUGAACCGCAUGGUUCAAAAGUGAAAGACGGUCUUGCUGUCACUUAUAGAUGGAUCCGCGCUGCAUUAGCUAGUUGGUAAGGUAACGGCUUACCAAGGCAACGAUGCAUAGCCGACCUGAGAGGGUGAUCGGCCACACUGGAACUGAGACACGGUCCAGACUCCUACGGGAGGCAGCAGUAGGGAAUCUUCCGCAAUGGGCGAAAGCCUGACGGAGCAACGCCGCGUGAGUGAUGAAGGUCUUCGGAUCGUAAAACUCUGUUAUUAGGGAAGAACAUAUGUGUAAGUAACUGUGCACAUCUUGACGGUACCUAAUCAGAAAGCCACGGCUAACUACGUGCCAGCAGCCGCGGUAAUACGUAGGUGGCAAGCGUUAUCCGGAAUUAUUGGGCGUAAAGCGCGCGUAGGCGGUUUUUUAAGUCUGAUGUGAAAGCCCACGGCUCAACCGUGGAGGGUCAUUGGAAACUGGAAAACUUGAGUGCAGAAGAGGAAAGUGGAAUUCCAUGUGUAGCGGUGAAAUGCGCAGAGAUAUGGAGGAACACCAGUGGCGAAGGCGACUUUCUGGUCUGUAACUGACGCUGAUGUGCGAAAGCGUGGGGAUCAAACAGGAUUAGAUACCCUGGUAGUCCACGCCGUAAACGAUGAGUGCUAAGUGUUAGGGGGUUUCCGCCCCUUAGUGCUGCAGCUAACGCAUUAAGCACUCCGCCUGGGGAGUACGACCGCAAGGUUGAAACUCAAAGGAAUUGACGGGGACCCGCACAAGCGGUGGAGCAUGUGGUUUAAUUCGAAGCAACGCGAAGAACCUUACCAAAUCUUGACAUCCUUUGACAACUCUAGAGAUAGAGCCUUCCCCUUCGGGGGACAAAGUGACAGGUGGUGCAUGGUUGUCGUCAGCUCGUGUCGUGAGAUGUUGGGUUAAGUCCCGCAACGAGCGCAACCCUUAAGCUUAGUUGCCAUCAUUAAGUUGGGCACUCUAAGUUGACUGCCGGUGACAAACCGGAGGAAGGUGGGGAUGACGUCAAAUCAUCAUGCCCCUUAUGAUUUGGGCUACACACGUGCUACAAUGGACAAUACAAAGGGCAGCGAAACCGCGAGGUCAAGCAAAUCCCAUAAAGGUGUUCUCAGUUCGGAUUGUAGUCUGCAACUCGACUACAUGAAGCUGGAAUCGCUAGUAAUCGUAGAUCAGCAUGCUACGGUGAAUACGUUCCCGGGUCUUGGACACACCCGCCCGUCACACCACGAG
rnacentral:rRNA from 1 species